UACGUAGGGGGCAAGCGUUGUCCGGAAUCAUUGGGCGUAAAGCGCGUGUAGGCGGCUUCGUAAGUCCGUUGUGAAAGUCCAGGGCUCAACCCUGGAAUGCCGAUGGAUACUGCGGAGCUAGAGUCCGGAAGAGGCGAGUGGAAUUCCUGGUGUAGCGGUGAAAUGCGCAGAUAUCAGGAGGAACACCGAUGGCGAAGGCAGCUCGCUGGGACGGUACUGACGCUGAGACGCGAAAGCGUGGGGAGCAAACAGG
rnacentral:rRNA from 1 species